rnacentral:rRNA from 1 species
AUUGAACGCUGGCGGCAGGCUUAACACAUGCAGGUCGAGCGGGGGAAGGUAGCUUGCUACCGGACCUAGCGGCGGACGGGUGAGUAAUGCUUAGGAAUCCGCCUAUUAGUGGGGGACAACAUCUCGAAAGGGAUGCUAAUACCGCAUACGUCCUACGGGAGAAAGCAGGGGAUCUUCGGACCUUGCGCUAAUAGAUGAGCCUAAGUCGGAUUAGCUAGUUGGUGGGGUAAAGGCCUACCAAGGCGACGAUCUGUAGCGGGUCUGAGAGGAUGAUCCGCCACACUGGGACUGAGACACGGCCCAGACUCCUACGGGAGGCAGCAGUGGGGAAUAUUGGACAAUGGGGGGAACCCUGAUCCAGCCAUGCCGCGUGUGUGAAGAAGGCCUUAUGGUUGUAAAGCACUUUAAGCGAGGAGGAGGCUACUCUAGUUAAUACCUAGGGAUAGUGGACGUUACUCGCAGAAUAAGCACCGGCUAACUCUGUGCCAGCCGCCGCGGUAA